UACGGAGGGUGCAAGCGUUAUCCGGAUUCACUGGGUUUAAAGGGCGCGUAGGCGGCCUGGUAAGUAGGGGGUGAAAUCCUGCGGCUUAACCGCAGGGCUGCCUUCUAAACUGUCAGGCUCGAGCACGGUAGAGGCAGAUGGAAUUCCCGGUGUAGCGGUGGAAUGCGUAGAGAUCGGGAAGAACAUCAGUGGCGAAGGCGGUCUGCUGGGCCGUUGCUGACGCUGAGGCGCGACAGCGUGGGGAGCAAACAGG
rnacentral:rRNA from 1 species